rnacentral:piRNA from 1 species
UAUCUAGCAAUGAUUCUUUAC